GGGAUAGUAACUCAAUUGGCUAGAGGAAAUUGUGUUGCAGGUUCAAGUCCUGCCUAUCCCACCA
rnacentral:tRNA from 1 species